ACGGGUGAGUAACACGUAGGCAACCUGCCCUCAAGUUUGGGACAACUACCGGAAACGGUAGCUAAUACCGAAUAGUUGUUUUCUUCGCCUGAAGGAAACUGGAAAGACGGAGCAAUCUGUCACUUGGGGAUGGGCCUGCGGCGCAUUAGCUAGUUGGUGGGGUAACGGCUCACCAAGGCGACGAUGCGUAGCCGACCUGAGAGGGUGAUCGGCCACACUGGGACUGAGACACGGCCCAGACUCCUACGGGAGGCAGCAGUAGGGAAUCUUCCGCAAUGGGCGAAAGCCUGACGGAGCAAUGCCGCGUGAGUGAUGAAGGUUUUCGGAUCGUAAAGCUCUGUUGCCAGGGAAGAACGCUUGGGAGAGUAACUGCUCUCAAGGUGACGGUACCUGAGAAGAAAGCCCCGGCUAACUACGUGCCAGCAGCCGCGGUAAUACGUAGGGGGCAAGCGUUGUCCGGAAUUAUUGGGCGUAAAGCGCGCGCAGGCGGUCAUUUAAGUCUGGUGUUUAAUCCCGGGGCUCAACCCCGGAUCGCACUGGAAACUGGGUGACUUGAGUGCAGAAGAGGAGAGUGGAAUU
rnacentral:rRNA from 2 species